GGACAUGCUGAUGUGCUACAUGCCAUCUUUGUUUUUAGAUCCCCUUCCACUGCUAGCCACAGGCUGAUCAAUCCCUGUUGGUGUGACAAGAGGCAGAAACAGAAAGGAGAAAGAAAAAAUGAAGAGGAUGACAACACUUC